rnacentral:rRNA from 1 species
UGGGGAAUAUUGGACAAUGGGCGCAAGCCUGAUCCAGCAAUGCCGCGUGUGUGAAGAAGGCCCUCGGGUUGUAAAGCACUUUUAUCAGGAGCGAAAUCUGCCCGGUUAAUACCUGGGUAGUCUGACGGUACCUGAGGAAUAAGCACCGGCUAACUCCGUGCCAGCAGCCGCGGUAAUACGGAGGGUGCAAGCGUUAAUCGGAAUUACUGGGCGUAAAGGGUGCGUAGGCGGUUGUUUAAGUCUGUUGUGAAAUCCCCGGGCUCAACCUGGGAAUGGCAAUGGAUACUGGGCAGCUAGAGUGUGUCAGAGGAUGGUGGAAUUCCCGGUGUAGCGGUGAAAUGCGUAGAGAUCGGGAGGAACAUCAGUGGCGAAGGCGGCCAUCUGGGACAACACUGACGCUGAAGCACGAAAGCGUGGGGAGCAAACAG